AGUGAACGCUGGCGGUAGGCCUAACACAUGCAAGUCGAACGGCAGCACAGUAAGAGCUUGCUCUUACGGGUGGCGAGUGGCGGACGGGUGAGGAAUACAUCGGAAUCUACUUUUUCGUGGGGGAUAACGUAGGGAAACUUACGCUAAUACCGCAUACGACCUACGGGUGAAAGCAGGGGAUCUUCGGACCUUGCGCGAUUGAAUGAGCCGAUGUCGGAUUAGCUAGUUGGCGGGGUAAGGGCCCACCAAGGCGACGAUCCGUAGCUGGUCUGAGAGGAUGAUCAGCCACACUGGAACUGAGACACGGUCCAGACUCCUACGGGAGGCAGCAGUGGGGAAUAUUGGGCAAUGGGCGAAAGCCUGAUCCAGCAAUACCGCGUGGGUGAAGAAGGCCUUCGGGUUGUAAAGCCCUUUUGUUGGGAAAGAAAAGCAGCAGGUUAAUACCCCGCUGUUCUGACGGUACCCAAAGAAUAAGCACCGGCUAACUUCGUG
rnacentral:rRNA from 1 species